GCCCGUGGCUCAAUGGUUAGAGCGUUUGACUUCCGAUCAAAAGGUCAGGGGUUCAAGCCUCGGUUGGGGCA
rfam:Schistocephalus solidus strain NST_G2 genome assembly, scaffold: SSLN_scaffold0000654